rnacentral:sRNA from 1 species
GGAAGCAGUCACAUUGGGGUAUGGCUACAACCUGACAGAGCUAUGGUAACCCCUUUAAAAGCGUGUUUAUUCUUUUCAAAUAGCAGAAAGAAUGUUCAGAGAGAACAUUAGGAGAGAGAAUGUUCAGAAUUGCUCUCCCAUGACUUAUUGAGGUUUUGUCCCCAAAGGCUUCUGUUUCCCUCUCUUUGUGUUGUGUAGAGGCUGAUGCAAUUCCUCUUGUAAUAGAGAUAUCUCAUGGUGCUCCAGAAGCAGGUCUCUCUGCAAUGCAAUCAAUGUUUACAACCUCACCUGCAAUAACUGUUUGGAAAACUGCAUUGAUGUUCUGUUUAGUAACAAGAUUACCUUCUUAAUGGACCUCCUGAUACACCAGUUGACGGUUUAUGUUCCAGAUGAAAAUAAUACUAUUUUGGGAAGAAAUACAAAUAAACAAGUUUUUGAAGGCUUGACAACUGGACUUCUCAAAGUCAGUGCUGUGGUUUUGGGCUGCCUGAUUGCCAAUCGACCGGAUGGAAACUGCCAGCCAGCUAUCCCAAAAAUACCAACACAGGAAAUGA